rnacentral:sRNA from 1 species
UUCACUUUGGUCUCAGUCUCCAGGAUGACGUGACAUCAAAACUUGCCUCCUCUGGUGCACGCUUCUACUGAUAUGGAAGGAAGACGUUCGAGGGCUCAGCAACCCGGAGGCCGUGACAACCACAGCUCCUGUUCAAAGGUCUGUGCUAACAGAGAUUCUUCAAUUUUUUUUUUAAUGGAAAGCUUCAAUGAAGCUAGUGAAGUCAAUGAUGAACUGUACAGAUCAGGAGACCAAAGAUUUGUAAGGCUUCCUCUUGGACAACAUGGUGGAUACAGGACGCAUGGAGCCGGGAAGGGUUCAUCCGGGGACGGCAGUGUCCAACUUACCUGUACUUCCGUGCCUCACCCACAGGGUGCAGGUUCCCGUUUCCUCAGACCUAACCUGGACUUCUCCACCAAGAAACUCUGUGAACGUGAAGUCGUCGACGUUUUUCUAAAGGGGAUUACUUUUAAAUUCUCUCUCCCUCUAACACGCAGUGAGAUUUUGGCAGCUAGAAAAGACUCAUUCCCUAGCUAUCACCAUGGGUGAUUUUCCCAAACUACUGCUUUGGGCCAGGGGCCAUCACCCAGUCUACAGCCCCUGUGAGCACAGAGGAGGCCUCAGGCAAUCCUGCCUGAAGCACCUCUGGGUUUUGGCAUUAAAUUCAUGCUUGAAUUUGA